ensembl:lncRNA
AUCUACAAGCUGCACGCAGUCAUCCAGUGAUUGAGAGGAGAGAGAGGAGGCUUUCAACGAACGAUAUAUCAUGAAGAGAUAUGUGAAAAACACCUUGAGGAUUGAUUCUAAACAACGUUUACCAUGUUUCAGUCGAUAUUAUGGAGUUAAUUUGGAAAAAAGUUUGGCGUUUUGAAGACUGAAUUUUCGUUUUUUUUUGGUAGCCAAACGUGACGCACCAAACGGAGCAAUUUCUCCUAAACAAAUAAUCUUUCAGGAAAAACUGAGCAUUUGCUAUCUAACUGAGUCUCCUCAUUGAAAACCAUCUGAAGUUCUUCAAAGGUGUUUAAGUCUAAAUUUCAGAACUGGGAUGAUGUCCUGAAGGUGGACUACACCAGAGCAGCUGAGAGUGUAGAGCAACAGCAAGGAUUACAGGGGAAGGUCAAGAAGGAUGCUGAGAAGAAAGACGAGAUGAAGGCUGACCUCACCGCCCUCUUCCUCCCCAGACAACCCCC